rnacentral:rRNA from 1 species
GACGUAGGGCGCAAGCGUUGUCCGGAUUUAUUGGGCGUAAAGAGCUCGUAGGCGGCCUGUCGCGUCGACCGUGAAAACCCGCAGCUCAACUGCGGGCUUGCGGUCGAUACGGGCAGGCUGGAGUUCGGUAGGGGAGACUGGAAUUCCUGGUGUAGCGGUGAAAUGCGCAGAUAUCAGGAAGAACACCCGUGGCGAAGGCGGCUCUCUGGAACGCAACUGACGCUGAGACGCGAAAGCGUGGGGAGCAAACAGG